rnacentral:rRNA from 1 species
GACGAACGCUGGCGGCGUGCCUAAUACAUGCAAGUCGUGCGGACUUAUCUUCGGAUAAGUUAGCGGCGGACGGGUGAGUAACACGUGGGCAACCUGCCUGUAAGACUGGGAUAACUCCGGGAAACCGGUGCUAAUACCAGAUACAAUCAAAGACCGCCUGGUCUUUGAUGGAAAGGUCUUGUACCGCUUACAGAUGGGCCCGCGGCGCAUUAGCUAGUUGGUGGGGUAAUGGCCUACCAAGGCGACGAUGCGUAGCCGACCUGAGAGGGUGAUCGGCCACACUGGGACUGAGACACGGCCCAGACUCCUACGGGAGGCAGCAGUAGGGAAUCUUCCGCAAUGGACGAAAGUCUGACGGAGCAACGCCGCGUGAGUGAUGAAGGCUUUCGGGUCGUAAAACUCUGUUGUCAGGGAAGAACAUCCGGGAUAACCUCCCGGUCUGACGGUACCUGAUCAGAAAGCCCCGGCUAACUACGUGCCAGCAGCCGCGGUAAUACGUAGGGGGCAAGCGUUGUCCGGAAUUAUUGGGCGUAAAGCGCGCGCAGGCGGUUUCUUAAGUCUGGUGUGAAAGCCCGCAGCUCAACUGCGGAGGGCCACUGGAAACUGGGAAGCUUGAGUGUAGGAGAGGAGAGCGGAAUUCCACGUGUAGCGGUGAAAUGCGUAGAUAUGUGGAGGAACACCCGUGGCGAAAGCGGCUCUCUGGCCUAUAACUGACGCUGAGGCGCGAAAGCGUGGGGAGCGAACAGGAUUAGAUACCCUGGUAGUCCACGCCGUAAACGAUGAGUGCUAGGUGUUGGGGACUCCAAUCCUCAGUGCCGCAGCUAACGCAAUAAGCACUCCGCCUGGGGAGUACGGCCGCAAGGCUG